GACAAACACAAGGGAAACCAAAGCAGAGACAACGAGUCCACAUCAUAGAGUAAAAGAAACAGUCAUUUGAACUUUGGGAGGAGUGGAAGCUGCUCAGAAAAUGAGGCAAGGCUCUGUUUAUGGGAUGAUCCAUCAGGCUGUCUCAGCGUCUCCAUCCAGCCCUUCAGCAGCCAGAGGCUUUCCAGGUAUCCAAGGAUACACCUGACUGAGAGGGGAGCAAGAACAAGAUGCUGCAAGAUGCUCAAAUACAGAUUGGUCUUCACUGUCACUAAUUUCCCAAUACCUGUAGCCCAAAGGAAUCACAAGGCUCACUACAGGAGAAGAUUUCUGGGGAAAAUCAGGAGACUUGAGACCUAUUUGGGUUACACCAGUUUCCAAAGAUGUUCAGAUCAGCUGAGGUACUGUUUGACUUGACCUGAGCCCAGCCACAUUAACUCUUUGUUUAUUUUGUGGCAGAGAGGGCCGACUGAAGGUAAGGUAUGAAGCUGGUGACUGACCUGAGAACCACUGUGCUAAGGUGUCAACUAAACAAUAAACGCACUUUCGUGGAAACCAAUCAUGUAGUCAAACAGUUAUUUAUUCAGAAAAUAAGGGGCUUCUCUUAAGCAUUGAGCUACUCAGAUCUCAUGUAACCCUAGGCUUCAUCUUUUGGGUUUGCCUUAAUUCGAUCUCAUUCUUUUGACCUUCUAUUCCCCAGGCCUCCUGCUUGUGAUUG